ensembl:lncRNA
AGGGCUGUACCCAUGGCAUAUGGAAGUUCCUAAGCUAGGGGUUGAACUGGAUCUACAGCUGCCAGCCCACACCACAGCCAAAGCAAUGCAGGAUCUGAGCUGUGUCUGCAACCUACACCACAGCUCAUGGCAAUGCUGGAUCACUGACCCACCGAGUGAGGCCAGGGAUCGAACCUGAAUCCUCAUGGAUACUAGAUGGAUUCAUUUCUGCUAAGCCACCACGGGAACUUCUAUUUAGGUCUUUUUAAUAUCUUGCAAUAUAAGGUUUUAUAACUUUCUCAAACAGGCUUUAUAUAUAUUUUUUGUAAUACACUUUCAGAUGAGUCUUUGUACCUCUGACUUUCACCUGCUUGUUUUUCCUAUUAAAAGCCAAUAAAUCUUCCUAAAGUAAAUUUACAUUAACCCCAAACUCAAAAAAUCUAUGGGAACUACCUAUUGCCUAUGGAAUCAAACACCAACUUCUCAGGCUGAUAUUUAUAUGGCUCUGUUUACCCAACCAGCAUCAUAUUCGCUAGGACUCCUUUUCAUUUCUUUACUUGGGGGGAAUUACAGUGUAGAAGACGAGCUCAUUUAGGUAACAGAAUCUAACAAAAUUAGAGCCAAGCCCUGACUCCACUGCUUGCUGAUUUAUGGCUUAGAUGAAGCAACUUAGUUCUCUGAGUUCCUCCAAACAAGAAAAAUAUGGAUAAUCAUAACACGGAAUAGCACAGGAUAAUCAGAGCAUAGUAGGUUAAGGCCAAGUGAAGAAUACAUGAAACAGUAUACAAAAGUUACACAGCACUUGUGAUUUACCAGCAUUAAUUGCUAUUAUUAUAUUGUUACUAUGACACAUUAAAAACAGAUAACCACAUGUCUUCUCUGAGUGAUUAACCAUCACCGUGACUACAUUUAACUUUUCUCAUUGAAGUGUUUUUUUUCUACACAUUUUUUAAUGCUAAGCUGAACCUAGAAGAGGAAAUGGCCAUACUCUAGAUAGGCUUGUCCCCCCUUCUGGAUACAUGGUGAAGAGGGAAACAGGGAAGGGUAGGCAUAGGGUGUGGAGACUAAUCUAGCUUAUGAAUGACCCCUGGUAUGCAGUCAGCCAGUAUCCCGAAAUCAUAAUUACAAAGCGACAUCUGUGGCCUAGGUUGAGCUGCAGCCCAGAUUCAAUCCCUGGCAUGGGAACUUCCAUGUGCCAAGAAUGUGGCCAAGAAAGAAAAAGAAUAAUAAUAAAAAUAAAGGAAUAGGAGUUCCCAUCGUGGCUCAGCGGAAACAAAUCUGACAAGCAUCCAUGAGGACGCAUGUUCAAUCCCUGGCCUCACUCAGUGGGUUAAGGAUCCAGCAUUGCCAUUAGCUGUGGUGUAGGUCACAGGCAUGGCUCGGAUCUGGUGUUGCUGUGGCUGUGGCAUAGGCCAACAGCUAUAGCUCCGAUUCCACCCCUAGCCUGGGAACCUCCAUACGCCUUGAGUUUGGCCCUAAAAAACAACAACAACAAAAUAAAUAAAUAAAGGAAUGUUCUCUCCAGUGCUGAGGGCUAGUAAUAGCUAAUAAGCAGAUUGCCCUGCUCCCUUUCAAGUUGGACCAGGUUCAGAGUAGGGCUCCCAAAAAGGAAACUAGAAUACCAUUUUUUUUUCUUUAAAAUGGCAACAGGAGUUCCUGUCGUGGCUCAGUGGUUAAUGAACCCGACUAGCAUCCAUGAGGACUUGUGUUCAAUCCCUGGCCUUGCUCAGAGGGUUAAGGAUCCUGCAUAGCUGUAGCUAUGGCAUAGGCCGGUGGCUAGAGCUCCGAUUCGACCCCUAGCCUGGGAACCUCCACAUGCCACGGAUGCAGCCCUAAAGUGACCAAAAAAAAGACAAAAAAAAUAAAAAGGCAAUAGCUUGGCCAUUCAUAUCUAGCAAUUUUAGCAAGGGUAGAUAAAAGACUGCAGUUUCCGUGAAUGCCAAAACUCAUCAUUUCCUUGCUUUAGCAUUUGGCUCAGAAACAAAAACUUGGAAGGCCUAAUACUAUCUUCUUUUAGUAAUAACCUUAGACACAUAGUAGUUACUACUUUGAUGAUAUAUGACAUGACACAUCAUAUGAAACUAUAGUACAUAUGGCAUGUGUGAUAGACAAUCUGAUAAUGAUGUGCCCAGGAAAUCUGUCCAUAUGUAAAAGGAAUUCUCACAAGAAGUAAAACUCAAAUUCAUACCUAGGGGCUUACAAGAGUUAAUCAAGGUUCUAUAGUUCUAAUCCCUACAGGAUUUGGGAUUUAUAAUGAGCUACUAGUCAUAGAAGGGACCCUGAGCCACCAGAGAGGCAAUGCAGACUACGAUCAAGGAAGAGGCCUAAGUCUGCAUUCUGGGCUUACUUAACAUCAGGUUAAGUCAACCUGUGACUCAAAGACUAUGAGAGGAUUCAGGGUUCAUCUCUGAUACAGUGAAACACUACCACAGUGGAUACAGGGUCUGACAAGUGAAACAGAGUCAUUCUCCUUAGAGAACGAUGUUCCUGCGUGUGACAGUUACAAUGCUAGUAGUGGAGGUGAGUGAACAUGUGUAGGAGGAUCAUUUGUUUGUUUUUUCUCUGUUCAUUUUAUGAUGGAGGAAAAUACAGCACUCUUGGAAGAUCAGAGGAAUGAUUUGUAAAUGAUCUCAAGGAAGUCAGAGGUGAGGCGAAGCACACAGACGAGAGGAUUGCCUUAAACCAAAAGGUAGAAAUCUGCUUGUCACAAAGGCUAAUUAAGCAUCACUUCAUAAAUCAAUCUUGCUACUAGGAUGAGGAACAUUUAGCCACUGAUCAAGGAUUGCAGCCACUAUCUUAUGAACAAUAUCCUAUACUGGGUAUAUAUAAUAAAAAUUUCUCCUAUUUGUCUGAAAGACAGGAGACUAAAACUCAACUUAUAUGGAUUCUUGGUCAUUAGAUGGGAAUUUAAAACCACAUCUGAAAAAUGCAGGGAUUUCAUAUCAUUUCUGCUAAAAUGUCAGUAAACGGAGUCCAAAUGAAUGGCCUCACUCCAACGACUUAGGUUGGGAAUUUCCCUCUGCACCUUACUGUGACCAUUUAUCAGUAACAUGACAAACCUCAAGCAAAAAAAAAAAAAAAAAAAAAAAAAAAAAUUGUUUAAUGGGCUUAAAAAAAAUCUCACCAGGACUCCUGUUUUCUUCAUAUUCUACCUGGCCCUCAUACACUAUUUCUAUGACAGCAAUUCAGUGGCAAUAGCUGGGGUGGUGGUAAUUUUUCCCUCUUGCAACUUAAGGCUGAAGCACUGUGGUGGGACGUACUGAGAAGUUUGCUUCCUGUCAAUGCACAAUUUGCUACGAGCAACCCUUUCUCUGGGCUGCCAGGGCCUGUGGUCUGAACUGUGUGACACUAACAUUCAAUUACAGUAAGAUGUUUAUUUAAUAACUGAUGUUUCCGGUAAACUUGCUGUGGGUUCCAUAUGCCUUAAGGCUAAUUAGAAAAGUUUCAGAGGAUACUAAGAAAUACUUUUCAACAAAAUUUACACUUCUCUUAUGAUUUAUCACAACCAAAAAUAUCAAGGAUUCUCCUUGGAGCUGCUUCAGACAUAGCUGGGAUAGAUGUGGUAACGCUUUAAAUCAAAUCCUGGGAGUUAAGAAGCUUCAGAACUAUUUUUGCUGGACAGGAAAUAUUUUCAGCUGAUGAGGUUAGGGUCGAGAGAAGUACCUGAGAAGUCCUUUUAGGCGUGCCAUGGUCUGCUGACAAAUACACAUACUCUCAUGCUUAUCUUCACUUUAACCAAACCAAGGUGCUUCCUAGCAACACUCUAGCCUCCAGUCAUCAGCAGAGCUCCAAAGCAAACAAUUCUAUGAGUUCCCCAGUUAAUGCAAUCAAUGGGAUUUGCUUCCUUGAGAACUAAUGUUAAGGUUUCCACAAUCUUAUCAGGUUCUAUAUCAGGGACUUAUCCAAUUAACAAAAUAAUUAGAAACACGUAGGUGUAAGCUUUGAGUUUUCUUAGAUAGGAAAUCAGAAUCACUUUCCUCUUCUCCCUUUUUUUGGGGGCUGUGCCCACAGCAUGCAGUGACAACACUGGAUCCUUAACCUGCUAGGCCACCAGGGAACUCCUAUUUUUUUCUUCUUUUAAAGAUCCUGCAGAGGAGAAAAGCUGUCUCUUCUCUUUUUUCCAGUUCUGAUGGGAUCAACCAAGGCAUAAAUUUUAAUUACAGGAACCUAUAAGUCUUGGUUUCAAAAAGUAAAAUGUCAAGCUGGAAGGCUGGGUUGAGGGAAUUCAACAAAUGCUCACGCAUUUUUCUAUUCUUCUAUAGAAAUAUAGAGCUGAUAAUAUUAAAUGAAAAUGUCCACUAGAUGCAUAAAACUUUGUGGGUAAAUUGCAGAGUUUAAAUAUUACUUUUGUCUGAUCAGUUAGGAAUAGUAUAUUAUAUUAGCUAUCACUUCACCAUUCACUAUUAGUUCAUUUCAUUUUUGCUCAAAAAUCCCCAUUAGAUAAAUAAGGUAUGUAUUUCCAACCCCACUGCACAGACUAGAAAAAAGUUUUGGAAAGCUCAGUGCCUAGACCAAGGUCAGACAUCUAGUAAUUAAGGAGUAAGGAGCAGAUCACAGGACUCAGUGUGUCUGACUAGACAAUGAAAAAAAAUGUGGCGUUAGGGAGUU